UUAAGCCCUAAGGGCAUUUUGGUCAUUUGACCCCUAAUUACUAUGUUUGGAAAAUGUGAUUUUUGAGGAAAUGAAAUGUUAAUUUCUGGUGGUUUUCCCCUCUCAACCGAACCCUCUCAUCCUCUCUAACCCUCUUCUUCUUCAAACUUGAUUUUUGAGAAGAAAGCUUGAUUUUUAGCUUGGUUUGGAAGCUUGAUUUGUGUUGGAAGCUUGGAGCUUGUUUGAGCAAGAGAUUGAGAUUGUGUGACUAGGAUUACCGGCACCUGGUCAGGAGGACCCGGGGAUUCAGAAUCUCUGCCUUUGCGGGACAACAGGAAAGGGUAGGACUUAUGCUGAUCAGCCAUGAGUGCAGGAGCUGGACGAAGAAUGUACAUGUCCGGGCCAUAUCAGACCAAGCGGGUUAAGGGUCUAUCAGUGAUGAACUUUUGAAUUCUAUUUUGCCGUUUAGGUCAGCUAGAAAUAAAUAACUUGUAAUAGCGUUUGUAAAUAUUUUUUGGGAUCCCAACUAUUUUAAAAGUUUAAAUAUAUUACAAGUUUAUUUUCAUUCU